AACUUUCAGCAACGGAUGUCUUGGCUCCCACCAUGAUGAAGAACGCAGCGAAAUGCGAUACGUAAUGCGAAUUGCAGGUCCUCGUGAAUCAUCAAACCUUUGAACGCACAUUGCGCUUCCGGGAUAUGCCCGGUAGCAUACCUAGCUGAGUGA
rnacentral:rRNA from 1 species